CCCUGGCUAGCUCAGUUUGUAGAGCGCUCCACCUGUAAUGGAGAGGUCCCGGGUUCGAUACCCGAACCAGGCG
rfam:Ixodes scapularis strain Wikel colony gcontig_1108378738960, whole genome shotgun sequence.